rnacentral:rRNA from 1 species
UACGUAGGGGGCUAGCGUUGUCCGGAAUCAUUGGGCGUAAAGAGCGUGUAGGCGGCUUUACAGGUCCGUUGUGAAAACUCGAGGCUCAACCUCGAGACGCCGGUGGAAACCGUAAGGCUAGAGUCCGGAAGAGGAGAGUGGAAUUCCUGGUGUAGCGGUGAAAUGCGCAGAUAUCAGGAGGAACACCGGUGGCGAAGGCGGGUCUCUGGGCCGGAUAUUGACGCUGAGGAGCGAAAGCGUGGGGAGCGAACAGG